UACGAAGGGAGCUAGCGUUGUUCGGAAUUACUGGGCGUAAAGCGUACGUAGGCGGAUUAGUAAGUAUGGGGUGAAAUCCCAGGGCUCAACCCUGGAACUGCCUCAUAAACUGCUAGUCUUGAGUUCGAGAGAGGUGAGUGGAAUUCCAAGUGUAGAGGUGAAAUUCGUAGAUAUUUGGAGGAACACCAGUGGCGAAGGCG
rnacentral:rRNA from 1 species